rnacentral:rRNA from 1 species
UACGGGGGAUGCAAGCGUUAUCCGGAAUCAUUGGGCGUAAAGCGUCUGUAGGUUGUUUAAUAAGUCUGUUGUUAAAGACUAGGGCUUAACCCUAGGAAAGCAAUGGAAACUACUAGACUUGAGUAUGAUAGGGGUAGAGGGAAUUUCUAGUGUAGCGGUGAAAUGCGUAGAUAUUAGAAAGAACACCGGCGGCGAAGGCGCUCUACUGGAUCAUUACUGACACUCAGAGGCGAAAGCUAGGGUAGCAAAAGGGAUUAGAUACCCCUGUAGUCCUAGCCGUAAACGAUGGAUACUACAUGUUGCGUUUUUAAUGCAGUGUGGUAGCUAACGCGUUAAGUAUCCCGCCUGGGGAGUACGUUCGCAAGAAUG